AGUGAACGCUGGCGGUAGGCCUAACACAUGCAAGUCGAACGGCAGCACAGUAAGAGCUUGCUCUUACGGGUGGCGAGUGGCGGACGGGUGAGGAAUACAUCGGAAUCUACUUUUUCGUGGGGGUUAAGGUAGGGAAACUUACUCUAAUACCGCAUACGACCUACGGGUGAAAGCAGGGGAUCUUCGGACCUGUCGCGAUUGAAUGAGCGGAUGUCGGAUUAGCUAGUUGGCGGGGUAAAGGCCCACCAAGGCGACGAUCCGUAGCUGGUCUGAGAGGAUGAUCAGCCACAUUGGAACUGAGCCACGGUCCAGAGUCCUACGGGAGGCAGCAGUGGGGAAUAUUGGACAAUGGGCGCAAGCCUGAUCCAGCCAGACCGCGUGGGUGAAGAAGGCCUUCGGGUUGUAAAGCCCUUUUGUUGGGAAAGAAAAGCAGCCGGUUAAUACCCCGCUGUUCUGACGGUACCCAAAGAAUAAGCACCGGCUAACUUCGUG
rnacentral:rRNA from 1 species